rnacentral:rRNA from 1 species
CACCGCGGUUAUACGAGAGGCCCAAAUUGAUAGACUCCGGCAUAAAGUGUGGUUAAGGACUAAACUCUACUAAAGCCGAAGACUCUCAAAGCUGUUAUACGCAAAUGAGAGGUAGAAGCCCAAUCACGAAAGUAGCUUUAAUUACCCUGACGCCACGAAAGCUACGGGA